CGUCUUCAUAGGCUGCUGAUCUCACCCUGUGCAAGUUAUGUCCCAGUAAGAACACAGCAUGGACAUGAGUGUUCCCAUUUUCUUUCUUGGGCUCUUGCUGCUCUGGCUCCCAGGUGCCAGAUGUGACAUCCAACUGACACAACCUGCAUCCUUAUCUGCAUCUGUGGGGGACACAGUCAAGAUCAGUUGCCAGGCCAGUCAGAGCGUUAGUAGUUACUUAAACUGGUAUCAGCAGAAACCAGGACAACCUCCUAAACUCCUGGUCUACUAUGCAACCAUUUUGCAAUCUGGGCUCCCAUCAAGGUUCAGUGGCAGUGGAUCUGGGAAAGAUUUCACUCUCACCAUCAGCAACUUGCAGCCUGAAGACUCUGCUACUUAUUACUGUCAGCGUUAUCUUAGUUGGGUUAUCACAGUGAUACACGCCAUGACAUAA